rnacentral:rRNA from 1 species
UACGUAGGGUCCAAGCGUUGUCCGGAAUUAUUGGGCGUAAAGGGCUCGUAGGCGGUUUGUCGCGUCGGGAGUGAAAACACCGGGCUUAACUCGGUGCUUGCUUUCGAUACGGGCAGACUGGAGGUAUGCAGGGGAGAACGGAAUUCCUGGUGUAGCGGUGAAAUGCGCAGAUAUCAGGAGGAACACCGGUGGCGAAGGCGGUUCUCUGGGCAUUACCUGACGCUGAGGAGCGAAAGUGUGGGGAGCGAACAGG